rnacentral:rRNA from 1 species
GACGAACGCUGGCGGCGCGCUUAACACAUGCAAGUCGAACGGAAAGGCCUGCUUUCCCUUGUGGAUUGCGGGUACUCGAGUGGCGAACGGGUGAGUAACACGUGAGUGAUCUGCCCACAACUUGGGUAUAAGCCUGGGAAACUGGGUCUAAUUCCCGAUAGGACUGCAGGGUGGUGCCUGUGGUGGAAAACGAUUUUCUAGUGGUUGGGGAUGAGCUCGCGGCCUAUCAGCUUGUUGGUGGGGUAAUGGCCUACCAAGGCGGCGACGGGUAGCCGGCCUGAGAGGGUGGACGGCCACAUUGGGACUGAGAUACGGCCCAGACUCCUACGGGAGGCAGCAGUGGGGAAUAUUGCACAAUGGGCGGAAGCCUGAUGCAGCGACGCCGCGUGGGGGAUGACGGCCUUCGGGUUGUAAACUCCUUUCGACCGCGAGGAAGCCACCUGGUUGGAAGGGUGGUGACGGUAGUGGUAGAAGAAGCACCGGCUAACUACGUG